CGAUUUUAGCAUACUCUGAUAGGGCAAAAUGGAACACCAUCGGUUAAAAUUUUGAUCAUUCUCGUUCAGUGGAUUUCGUGUUAGCUCCCCUACUACAAGGAACUGAGUGACAUAGCGGCAACGGAAUUAAAUGAAGAUCCUAAGCGAACUAUAGAAACUCUUGAAGCUUUUGAUGAAUGGUUAAGGAAGCAACGACACUUGCAUGUGAGAAACGAUUACCUACCAACACCUGAUUGCUUUCCUUCGUGGGUGUAAAUGGAGUCUUGAACGAGCUAAACAAAAAAUUGAUGGUUAUUACACGUUUAAAACACUGCUUCCGGAACUGUUCCGAGAGAGGGAUCCUGCAUCAGAUGAAAUGCAAGCAGCACUUAAGGCCGGUUUGGUUGCACUCCUACCAACUGGAAAAGGACACGCCGGGCCAAGAACUCUGUUUUUAUCCUAUCACGAGGCAAUAUCGGUGGGGACGAUGUGUAAAAUAUUUUCCUCUGCUAUGGACAUGUUAAUUAUAGAAGACGACAAUGCUGUUAUAUCUGGAUUACAAAUAAUAGUAGAUUUUAAAGGGAUUACUGCGGGACAUUUGUUACCAAUUUACACAUGCGUUAAUGAAAAAGGUUGCAAUGUGCGUUAAUGUGAUGUAUCCCAUCAGAUUUAACAAAAUGAUUGGUAUAAAUACUCCAAAACCCCUACAAGUAAUAUAUAACACCUUACUUAAGCCGUUUUUGAGUGACAAACUUAAAAAGAGGGUAAAAUAUGCUAAGAUAUAGCACUACCGAAGAGUAAUGCAUUUUAACUACACACUUUUUUCAGGUUUGCUUUUUACCGGUACAAGGAUGGAAAGAAGCUAUUGGCAAUGAUAUACUUUCAUUAAGUACUUCCCUUGGAAUACGGAGGCGACAACCUACCCAUAAACUAUCUUAUGGACGAAUGGUCUCGGAAAUUUAAUAGUUACCAGGGACUGGUUUAUAGAGGAUGACACCUAUUCGUGCGACGAGACCUAUCGUUCUAGCUACACAUGCAGUCAAGAUUUAGGAAUGGAGGGAUCUUUUCGGAAGUUAUCUAUAGAUUAGUGCUUGCAAAGAGUAUAUAACGUUGUAUACUCUUUGGUACUUGUGAGUUGUAGGUGGUCAUACGCAGUGAAUGUCCGGAAAUCUACCCCUCCACUUCCUGGGCAUUGUAAAACUUGCUAAAUAUACCUACGUUAUUACCCAUUAUUAUAAUUUUUGGCGCAUUUUCCAACGCAGUUGAGUGCGUUAUUGCAGCCACCACCUAUGUCUGUCCAUCCGUUCGAGUCCUUAACUACCCUUAUAAAUUAUAAUUUUCAAUAUA